GCAUCACUUUGCCCUCAACCCCAUUUUCCGGCACUACACCAAGUUCUUUCUGAAGGAGAUCCUGCGUUUAGGCUUUAAAUCCUGUCUCUACUACCCUGUUUACCCAAAAUCCAGAGAAGGCAAGAUGAGUUAUGCUUUAAACCAUACAAACAGAAAACUAACAUUGGAACCUAAAAUUACUGUCAAUGCCAAGAUCAUUGUGGUUGGUGCAUCCAGUGUUGGAAUUUCCUUCCUAGAGACAUUGGUAUUUUGCUCUCACAUGAAGUUUAAUAAUCUUACCCUGAUUUCAACCCAUGGACUCCCAGGAAAAAAACUUCUGGACACUGAACAAAGGAAAUUUUUAGCCAGCGACCACUGUUUUAAUGAUAAAGAUUAUGCACUGAUGUCACUGUGCUCUUGGGUUAAUGUCGUGGUGGGUAGAAUGACUGGCAUAGACCGAGCAGCCAAGCACGUUGUGCUUUCCACGGACGAGAUCGUGCUCUACGACCACCUCAUCCUCUGCACCGGGCAGCAGUACCAG
rnacentral:sRNA from 1 species